rnacentral:rRNA from 1 species
AACGAACGCUGGCGGCAUGCCUAACACAUGCAAGUCGAACGAGAUCUUCGGGUCUAGUGGCGCACGGGUGCGUAACGCGUGGGAAUCUGCCCUUUGGUUCGGAAUAACAGUUGGAAACGACUGCUAAUACCGGAUGAUGACGAAAGUCCAAAGAUUUAUCGCCAGAGGAUGAGCCCGCGUAGGAUUAGCUAGUUGGUGUGGUAAAGGCGCACCAAGGCGACGAUCCUUAGCUGGUCUGAGAGGAUGAUCAGCCACACUGGGACUGAGACACGGCCCAGACUCCUACGGGAGGCAGCAGUGGGGAAUAUUGGACAAUGGGGGCAACCCUGAUCCAGCCAUGCCGCGUGAGUGAUGAAGGCCUUAGGGUUGUAAAGCUCUUUCGCCGGUGAAGAUAAUGACGGUAACCGGAGAAGAAGCCCCGGCUAACUUCGUGCCAGCCGCCGCAGUAA